CCUACGGGAGGCAGCAGUGAGGAAUAUUGGUCAAUGGGCGCGAGCCUGAACCAGCCAAGUAGCGUGAAGGAUGACUGCCCUACGGGUUGUAAACUUCGUUUAUAAAGGAAUAAAGUGAGGCACGGGUGACUUUUUGUAUGUACUUUAUGAAUAAGGAUAGGCGAAAUCCGUGCCAGCAGCCGCGGUAAUACGGAGGAUGCGAGCGUUAUACGGAUUUAUUGGGUUUAAAGGGCGCGUAGAUGGGUUGUUAAGUAAGUUGUGAACGUUUGCGGCUCAACCGUAAAAUUGCAAUUGAUACUGGCAGUCUUGAGUACAGUUGAGGUAGGCGGAAUUCGUGGUGUAGCGGUGAAAUGCUUAGAUAUCACGAAGAACUCCGAUUGCGAAGGCAGCUUACUAAACUGCCACUGACAUUGAUGCUCGAAAGUGUGGGUAUCAAACAGGAUUAGAUACCCUAGUAGUC
rnacentral:rRNA from 1 species